AGUGAACGCUGGCGGUGGGCCUAACACAUGCCAGUCGAACGGCAGCACAGUAAGAGCUUGCUCUUACGGGUGGCGAGUGGCGGACGGGUGAGGAAUACAUCGGAAUCUACUUUUUCGUGGGGGAUAACGUAGGGAAACUUACGCUAAUACCGCAUACGACCUACGGGUGAAAGCAGGGGAUCUUCGGACCUUGCGCGAUUGAAUGAGCCGAUGUCGGAUUAGCUAGUUGGCGGGGUAAAGGCCCACCAAGGCGACGAUCCGUAGCUGGUCUGAGAGGAUGAUCAGCCACACUGGAACUGAGACACGGUCCAGACUCCUACGGGAGGCAGCAGUGGGGAAUAUUGGACAAUGGGCGCAAGCCUGAUCCAGCCAUACCGCGUGGGUGAAGAAGGCCUUCGGGUUGUAAAGCCCUUUUGUUGGGAAAGAAAAGCAGCAGGUUAAUACCCCGCUGUUCUGACGGUACCCAAAGAAUAAGCACCGGCUAACUUCGCG
rnacentral:rRNA from 1 species